CUCAGUUUCAUUAUUUUGCACUCUUUAAAUUGAGUCAGUAAAGAUAAUCCCAUCAAUUCUUAAAAAAUAUACAUAAUCCCACUAAUACUUAGCCCUCUUUGGUUUAGAUAAACAUCAUCAAACUUUUAGCAGAUUUUGAUCAAAUUUAAUGAAAUAUAUAGUUGAAAAAUUGAUAAAAGUUGAAAGUUGAAUAUAUUGUGUAUUUGAAAAUGCAUUAGAAAAAAAAAUAAAUUUUAGAAAAUGGAAGCCAAAAGGAGACUUAAUAUGCUCCCAUAAGUCCUAUAUGUAGUUUGAGUUUUAGAAAAUGGUGUUGCCGGGGUGAUUCUCUGCAGCGAUGAGGUAACUGGCAAUGAAAUCAUCAAAGAUCCUCAUGUUCUUCUAGCCACUCAGAUCAAUUAUACUGAUGGUGUUACUCUCUUUUCCAUGUCAACACAAGCAAGCAAGAGUUGAUGGUAUAAUGAAGAUGAGUUUAGCUAUUUUCAUCUUAUUAAAUCUAAUGCAAUCUAAUAUUUCCUUCCAAAUAAGUUAAUAAAUGUACUUCUAUUUGAGAGACGAACCCUGUUCUCAUGUGAUCAUACACUUAUAUCUUACUGAUAAUUGCAGGAAUCCAUUGGGAUUGCUUACACCGCCUAAGGCAGCAGUGAACAUAAAGUCUGUUCCAUUUAUGGCUACUUUUGUUAGGGAGAAAACGCGCGGGUCGACUUUGGCUAACAAGUAAUGAAAUUGAGAAAAUACAGCUAAAAUGGACACAAGUGUUUUACGUGGUUCACCCAAUAUAGGCUACGUCCACGGGCAAGUAUGAGAGGAUUCACUAUAGUAGGAGAAUUACAACAAUCUCUUUAAAUACAAGGAGAUAACAACGAAUAAUCUCUCUUGUAAUUAGGAGAAAACCAAAUAGGAAAUACCUAGGAGAAAACAAUAUUUUUUUCUCUCUAUUUUUAUCUCUCUACCUUACCAAUUUUUUUCUCUCUACUAAAACAAUUUUUAUCUCAAAUUUCCUCUCCAACACCACACUUUUUCCUUUAGCUCAUGCCCUCUAUUUAUAGAGAAAUCCUUGCCGCCUAAGUGCUUGGAAAAUUCAAGAAAAGUGGCGUAAAUUAAUGCUGUCAAGUGGCUGGAAUUUGCUGGAUUUUCCACCGCCUUUUUCUUGCUGGAAAUGUCAAGAAAAUCUGCUGGAAUUCUCUACAAGGUUGGCUGGUGGCUGGAAGAAGAAAAAUUCAAAUUGGCCACCACCUUUUUGUAUGCAUGCAUGGGCUUUCUUAACACUCAAGUAAUUGACAACCUUAUCCUUUUCUAGUCAAUAAAAGUGGCUUUAUUAUUCAACAUUUCUCCCACUUAAAGUCACUUUUGUUGACCACUCCAAUCCUUCUCAUACUUGCCAUUUCCAUGCUACUUACGUUU
rnacentral:lncRNA from 1 species